AGCUCAAACUUGAAGCAGAGUAGAUUAGUAGGAUCAGCUGACCAUACCCAACUAUUCUACUUCAAGUUUGUGCCC
rnacentral:pre_miRNA from 1 species